GACGAACGCUGGCGGCGUGCCUAAUACAUGCAAGUUGAGCGAUGAAGAUUGGUGCUUGCACCACUUUGAAGAGCAGCGAACGGGUGAGUAACGCGUGGGGAAUCUGCCUUUGAGCCGGGGACAACAUCUGGAAACGAAUGCUAAUACCGCAUAACAUCUUUAAACAUAAGUUUCAAGAUUGAAAGAUGCAAUUGCAUUACCUAAAGAUGAUCCCGCCUUGGAUUAGCUAGUUGGUGAGGUAAAGGCCCACCAAGGCCAAGAUACAGAGCCGACCCGGGAGGGUGGACGGCCAAAAUGGGACUGGGACACGGCCCAAGCUCCUACGGGAGGGAGCAGGAGGGAAUCUUCGGGAAUUGACGAAAGGCUUAACGGGCCACGCCGCGGGAGGGAAGGAGGGUUUCGGAUCGGAAAACUCCGUUGGUAGGGAAGGAAGUUGGUGAGAGUUGAAAGCUCAUGAAGUGACGGUAACUACCCAGAAAGGGACGGCUAACUACGUG
rnacentral:rRNA from 1 species